CGGACCGCAGAUUAUAGUGGGACCAGUCUCAUUAGGUUGAAUCUACAGCCUUUGUUGGUGUUAACCCAGGUCUCUUAGAGUGUUAAAAGGAUCUGAACAAAGUCUGCUCAAAUCUCCUGCUGUGAACCAGCAGAAUUUUUGAACAGGUUUCUUCACAUAUAAAAAUCUAUUGUAAAAAUACGGAAAAGAAUGGCAGCGGAAACGCAGACACUGAACUUUGGGCCUGAAUGAUAUGUUUGGACCCCGAAUAUGGAAUUCUCAUGGAAUUUUGAGAUCCAUCACAUUGUAGUGUGGCUUCCCCCCCCCCCUUCCUUUUUCCCCAAAGUUGGUGAUUGAAGAACCUCUCUUCAGUGGCAUCAAUAAUAAUAAUUACUUUUUCUAUUCAAACCUCGGGCAACCCCUUUGGUAAUAUCAGAAGCAGUAUCUAAAAUAGAUAAAUUGGAUUUGUGUCUUAAACUCUUGGUUGUUCAGGUGGGAGUGGUUCAAUAAAUGAUGCAGACUUCCCGUAGUAACUCUAUUUGAGGAGUCUUAUUAACUUACCCUAUUAGAAAUAUUUCUUUUUAUUAAUAUAUGUAAUCUGGAAGUUUUCUUAACCUUUAUAGCCAGCAUUUGGAGACUGAGGAGAAAUCACUAUUUGAAGUUCUAAGAACUGAUGGAACUCCUGUAUUUUGAGAGUUUAUUUAGAACAUGUUAACCUAAGUAAUGCUGUACUUGUUUUAGUUAUUCCUUUAUAUUUUUUAAAUGAUUUUCUUAUUAUCAAAUUAAUAUGUUUCUAAAAAAAUUAGAAAUUACUAGUAAGCCAGAAAUAAUUUCAACAUCCAUGGUACACACUGUAAAUACCUUGGUGUAUCUUUCCAGGUGGUUUUAUGUAUGCUUAUUUGUGUAUAUAUACAUUUAUUUUUUACAAAAAUGGGAUCAUACUGUACCUUCAGUUUUGUAGCCUGCUUAAAGAAAUAACCAAAUCAGAAACAUCUUUUUUUAAUCAAUAAAUAUUUUCUGUUGUAUUAAACGGUUGCAUUGUAUGGAUGUACCAUCAUUUAUUCAACUAGUCUUCUAGAUGUGGCAUAUAGAAGCUGUUCUUGAUUUUUCUUAUAAAAUAUUUUUAAUGAA
rnacentral:sRNA from 1 species